AAAGAAACUAACCAGGAUUCCCCUAGUAACGGCGAGUGAAGCGGGAAAAGCUCAAAUUUGUAAUCUGGCGCCUUUGGCGUCCGAGUUGUAAUCUCGAGAAGUAUUUUCCGCGCUGGACCGCACAUAAGUCUGUUGGAAUACAGCGUCAUAGUGGUGAGAACCCCGUAUAGGGUGCGGAUGCCCAGUGCUUUGUGAUCUACUUUCGAAGAGUCGAGUUGUUUGGGAAUGCAGCUCAAAUUGGGUGGUAAWUUCCAUCUAAAGCUAAAUAUUGGCGAGAGACCGAUAGCGAACAAGUACCGURAGGGAAAGAUGAAAAGCACUUUGGAAAGAGAGAGUUAACAGUACGUGAAAUUGUUGGAAGGGAAACGCUUGAAGUCAGACUUGCAUUUUGGAGUUCAGCCGCAAGGUGUAUUCUUCAAUUCGCAGGCCAGCAUCAGUUUUUGGGGGUGGAAAAGCGUGGUUUGAAGGUAGCAGCUUCGGCUGUGUUAUAGCUUUCCACUGGAUUCACUUUUGGGGACUGAGGAACGCAGUACGCUUUUUGCAAGAUCUUCGGAUCUUUCGUACUUAGGAUGCUGGUGGAAUGGCUUUAAACGACCCGUCUUGAAACACGGACCAAGGAGUCUAACAUGUUUGCGAGUGUUUGGGUGUUAAACCCGGACGCGUAAUGAAAGUGAAUGGAGGUGGGAUCCGCAAGGUGCACCAUCGACCGAUCUGGAUUUUCUAAGAUGGAUUUGAGUAAGAGCAAUUAUGUUGGGACCCGAAAGAUGGUGAACUAUGCCUGAAUAGGGUGAAGCCAGAGGAACUCUGGUGGAGGCUCGUAGCGGUUCUGACGUAGU
rnacentral:rRNA from 1 species